AUUGAACGCUGGCGGCAGGCCUAACACAUGCAAGUCGAACGAGUGGCGGACGGGUGAGUAAUGUCUGGGAAACUGCCUGAUGGAGGGGGAUAACUACUGGAAACGGUAGCUAAUACCGCAUACCAUCGGAUGUGCCCAGAUGGGAUUAGCUAGUAGGUGGGGUAACGGCUCACCUAGGCGACGAUCCCUAGCUGGUCUGAGAGGAUGACCAGCCACACGGUAACGUAGACACGGUCCAGACUCCGACGGGAGUCAGCAGUGGGGAAUAUUGCACAAUGGGCGCAAGCCGUAUGCAGCCAUGCCGCGUGUAUGAAGAAGGCCUUCGGGUUGUAAAGUACUUUCAGCGGGGAUGCGUUACCCGCAGAAGAAGCACCGGCUAACUCCGUGCCAGCAGCCGCGGUAAUUC
rnacentral:rRNA from 1 species